rnacentral:rRNA from 1 species
GACGAACGCUGGCGGCGUGCUUAACACAUGCAAGUCGAACGGUGACCCUCGGAGCUUGCUUCGGGGUGAACAGUGGCGAACGGGUGAGUAACACGUGAGUAACCUGCCCCUGACUCUGGAAUAAGCGCUGGAAACGGCGUCUAAUACCGGAUACGACACGCCUACGCAUGGGGAGAGUGUGGAAAGUUUUUCGGUCUGGGAGGGACGCAUGGCCUAUCAGCUUGUUGGUGAGGUAAUGGCUCCCCAAGACGAUGACGGGUAGCCGGCCUGAGAGGGCGACCGGCCACACUGGGACUGAGACACGGCCCAGACUCCUACGGGAGGCAGCAGUGGGGAAUAUUGCACAAUGGGCGAAAGCCUGAUGCAGCGACGCCGCGUGAGGGAUGACGGCCUUCGGGUUGUAAACCUCUUUCAGCAGGGAAGAAGCGAAAGUGACGGUACCUGCAGAAGAAGCACCGGCUAACUACGUGCCAGCAGCCGCGGUAAAAC